GGAGAGAUGGCUUAGUGGUUAAAAACACUNGCAGCUCUUCCAGAGGACCUGGGUUCAAUUCCCAGUUCCUACA
rfam:Neotoma lepida isolate 417 scaffold_214, whole genome shotgun sequence.